CGCCCGGGGAGAACGUGGGGCUUUGCCAGAGGUAUCCACGUCUUAGCCGCCAGCGACGUACCGCGGGAGUGGGGCUCGGGGCCAGCUGUGGGCGGAGAUGGGAACCUGGCACCGGAGGCGGGGGGCAAAAGCUAGCCCCCAGCUGGGGAUGCUCCAGUGCCAUCGGGGGGAGCCACUCACUCAUGCCCCGAGUUGCAGAGUUCUCUGUCCGACAGGCCAGGGCUCAGCUAGCACCUUUGCUUCUCAGCAUGGGCUGGAGUGGUGAGCUUCCCCGGAGCAGUGCCCUGCUUGGCACCCAGUGUGGGACCCGGAGCGGUGAGCUUCCCCAGAGCAGUGCCCUGCCCGGCACCCAGUGUGGGAAUCUUCCUUGGAGUCGCUUCCCAGGAGACGGUCCCGGCCUGUAAGUGCAGCCGACAUUCUCUGUUCCUAGAGGUGCCCGUUUACGUGGUUGCUUGUGCCCGGCUUCCCCAGCGAUCCAGAUCGUCCUCUUCCUUAUUUACCACUCUCCCAAUUUCUGUGUCCUCUGCAAAGACAGAGACAGACCCGCUCGAUGUUGAUCUUCCUCGUACCGUUACAUUCCGAGACCUGUCGGAUAGCCAGUUUGUAAUCUAUUUAAUGUUUGCCAUGGUCACUUUAAAUCGUUCUGGUUUUUAAAU